CCAUAUCUCCUUCAUUAUAAGGUCAAAUAGAGUGAUUCAAAAGCCUAACUUGACUGAAAUUUCACAAGGAAUCCAUUGGAGGCAUCAAAAGUGAGUUUCGGGAUCGUUUGGCACAAGAAACGAGGCAGAACAGCCGGGUAUUUUUGGCUAUUAAUGUUGUUGGAGUUUUUCUCAUCUUGAAAGUUUGGGUUUGGGAGAAUUCAAGGAUGUUCUUCAAGUUUGUUCCAUGGGAGUAUUAGACAGGUUCCACUUUUUCCCCUCGCGGCUGAUUGGCGAGGUGGCUAUAGAGUCAUUCCAGGGUGAGCACGAUGACGGCCGCUGCCCGGAUGUUCUUUCCUUUACUUACCUGUCUUACUCUUAUUCCGAGACAGUUGUAUUAUGAGAUUUUAUCAUCUUCCAGACUUGUAGUAUUUUGUUAGUGCUCUUGUAUGACUAGACCAGAUCUUUGGGGUUGUAUUUAGUAUUUCCGCACUUUAUCUUAUGUGGAUGAUUUGAAACUUAUUCUA